rnacentral:rRNA from 1 species
CCCUUUGAUACUCUUGGCGGCACGCGCGCUACAAUGGAUCAUGUAAUAGCAGUACCUGUCUAUGAAUAGGGUAAAUUGUAAAGUGUAAACACUUGAGUGGGAUAGUCUGUUGAAAUUUUUAGACUUGAACUAGGAAUCCCUUGUAUAUGCAGCACAGAAGGUUGCAUAGAAUACGUCCCUGCCGUUUGUACACACCGCCUGUCGUUUCUUCCGACUGAUACUCAUUGUAAAUCGCAGGGAUCUCAGAGAAGAAAACUGUUGUGAAUGCUGGGUAUUGGAGGAAGAAAAAGUCGUAACA